rnacentral:lncRNA from 1 species
UUAAAAGAGCCCAUUUUCCAGGUUCCAGACUGUUGGAAAUAUAUGCUGAUUCCUGGGAGUAGGGGCAGGAAUUAUUACAUGAAAAAGUCCCAGUCAUUGGAAGAAUCCCAUAACCUCCCUGAUGAGCGAUGGCUACCCUUCACUUGAGGUCUGGUAGGGAAGGGUAGCUGUCCUGGCCCCUUUUACAUAGGUUCCUCAUGCCUCAUCCUGACCAUAACCCUGUGUGUGUGUCUCUGUUACACACACCCCACCCACACCACUGUGAGCUCCUGAAUGGCAGGGAGAGGAACUUCCUUAUAUCUCUGUCCCCUCAGUGCCCAGCUGGAUGCCUGGCUCAGAGCAGAGACUUGAUAAGUGUUGGUUGAUUGAAUAAGUGCCAUCUCACCAAGCCCAGAAUAUACCUUGUCUUAAUCUCUAUCUUCAGGGCCAAGUUCAAUGCCUGGCACUUAACUUGGUGCUCAAUAAUGUUAGGAAAAAAUGAGCUCAUAAUCACCAUCCUUUAAUUAUGAUUGUUAUGUUUUUACUUUUAGCUAAAUGCUAUUUCCACCUCCCCUCCCCUCCCCAUGACUUCUGUUUUAUCUGUUCACUCACUAAAGCAUAGUAUCCUGAAUGCCUAUUAUGGCCCCAAGCCCUGACGUAGGUACUUGGUGUAUACAGGUGAGUGAAAGAGGCAAAGUCCUUGCCCUACUGGAAUUUACAGUCAAGUAGUAGAACAGUGUUUGGCACAAAGUGUUAGCUGCUCUUAUUAUUACUUCUGUCAUCUUAUUUUUUCCCCUGUAAAUGUGAGACUUCUCAGUUUACCAGAUGUCUCUUUUUCUGUGUCCUACCUCUAUUGCACUAUAGUACUUUUUUUUUUUUUUUUAAGUUUUCUGUAGGUACUUUUCUUCCUUAGAAGCCCAAGUUCUGAUUUUUCUUUCUUUCAGCUCACAUGUACAGGUCUCUUGCUCUGAGCCUAGGGGCUAUGCUGGGCACGUGCUGUAGGACCCAGUGCCUGCCCUCGGAUCACAGCCACAAAACCACACUUUCGUUUACUCACCACCGUCCUUUCUCUUUCUCUCUCUGUCUUUUCCAGGGACACAGACUUCAUCUGGACGGGUUGUCUGCUUUGCUGAGGCUUUCAGUUUGCUGCUCCAGAGUUCCUGGAGGCAACCCGAUUUCUCCUGGGAUGGUCACUGAAGUCAAAUUUAAGUGGAUGGCAUCCUUUUUUUUUUCCUGUCUCCAUGGUUUGCUGCUGGUUGUGAGCUGCGUGUAGAAUUUCUGGCUAAGGCACCUGCAAUCACAGAACCAAAGAUUUUCUGGGAGGAGCUGCCUCCUUUGUUUACAGGUGAAGAAACGGAGGCCCAUGAAAGUGAAGGGACUCGCCUAUACGAACGGCUUGUUAUUAAGAGUUCCUGCAUACAUGAAAGGAUGAAUACGUCUGCAAAGAACAUCUUCCAAACCAUGUCAAUGUGGAAAUUCCAUGAAUAAUUCAAGCUGGUCUUGACAGCAUAGAGCCCGAGUCUGGGCAAGAUUGCUGUUGCUGCUGCAACAGUCGUGUCCGACUCUGUGCAACCCCAUAGAUGGCAGCCCACCAGGCUCNNNNNNNNNNNNNNNNNNNNNNNNNNNNNNNNNNNNNNNNNNNNNNNNNNNNNNNNNNNNNNNNNNNNNNNNNNNNNNNNNNNNNNNNNNNNNNNNNNNCCACCAGGCUCCCCCAUCCCUGGGAUUCUCCAGGCAAGAACACUGGAAAGAUUAGGCUGAACCUAAAAGAAAUCAGGUUAGAGGCAAAGAAGAAUUUUUGUGUAUCCUGAAGUUAUAACCCUUAGCAUUUGUUUUUUAGCUUCUUCAGGCUGCUUCCUGCCAGCAGACACUUCAUUGGAAGGGAGGCUGGCAAAGCUCGUCCCUUCUGCCUCUUUGUGGAAACUUUUUUAUUCCUCUAUAAAGCUAGAUUUUAGAAGAGAGUGGAGGGUUUAUCUAUGAAUUCAGAAUUAGCAUAGAAAGAAUCAGAAAAUUAGAGUUGAGUGGGAACUCAAAGAUCUGGGCUGCUCAGCUUAUUUUAUAGACAAUUGCAAAAGUCACAAGGUUGCUUGGUCACAGAUCUGGGACUCAAGUCUGGAUUUCUAUCUGUGUCCAAGUUUUACUCACAACGGUACUUUGCUAAUGAAGAGACCAAGAGUACAAGGUGUGCCUUAACUCCCUGUCUUCCUUCCCGCCCUCUCUGGUACCUUUACACAUUGCCUGGAGGUACCAAGCCAGGGUAUGAGGAAGCAGAAGCUCUGAGCUUGAUCUUGGCUGGGAUGAAAGAUCUAGGGAAGGGGAUCUGCCCAUAUGGAGAAAGCACCUGCCUCCCCAGUGUGAUUUUGAACUCAAGAUUUCAGAGAACGCAGCAACGCAACUAUGAUGUAGCUGGUCCAUCGUGGUAACUGUCUGGGUAUUUGCAGAAUGAAUGUGUGUACUGGCAAGGGGAUGAGGACGGGGUGAUGAGGUUAGAUGAAUAAAAGCAAGCUAGCUGUUGCCAACCGCCAGUUUUUUUGCUUGGAAGGUAGAGGCAACCAUGAGAAGCCUUUCACAGGGGACUUCAUCUCUUUAUCUGCCUAGGGAGAAAGAUGUGGUCGUUAAUGUAGAAGCGUCACAAAUUGUUAGUGCUGGAAAAUACAGUCCAGUGGCUUGUUCAGAAAGAAGAGGCAAGUGGCUAGUGGCCUCCACCAUAGCUCCUGAACUGAGAAACCUUCCCAUGCUGCUGGCAGCAAUAGCACGCCCUGCUCUCGGAGCU